rnacentral:rRNA from 1 species
GACGAACGCUGGCGGCGUGCCUAAUACAUGCAAGUCGAGCGGACGAAUCGAAAGCUUGCUUUUGAUUCGUUAGCGGCGGACGGGUGAGUAACACGUGGGCAACCUGCCCUGUAGACGGGGAUAACACCGAGAAAUCGGUGCUAAUACCGGAUAACACGAAAUGUCGCAUGACGUUUCGUUGAAAGCCGGCGCAAGCUGUCGCUACCGGAUGGGCCCGCGGCGCAUUAGCUAGUUGGUGAGGUAGCGGCGCACCAAGGCGACGAUGCGUAGCCGACCUGAGAGGGUGAUCGGCCACACUGGGACUGAGACACGGCCCAGACUCCUACGGGAGGCAGCAGUAGGGAAUCUUCCGCAAUGGACGAAAGUCUGACGGAGCAACGCCGCGUGAGCGAAGAAGGCCUUCGGGUCGUAAAGCUCUGUUGUUAGGGAAGAACAAGUAACGCAGUAACUGGCGUUACCGUGACGGUACCUAACGAGAAAGCCACGGCUAGCUACGUGCCAGCCGCCGCCGUAA